CGCAGUCCAUCAACAUCUCUUUCUUCCUGAGUCAGGUUCCGAGCGAGAUGGGGUCGCGAUGCAGACAAUGCUGGGCGCGGCGGCGGCGAUCUCCAGCCAGAUCCGGUCGAGGAGUCGAGGCAGGGGCCGGAUCCUGUUCAGGGGACGGCGUGGAGGCGAUCUACAAAUCGCGGGAGGAGGUCAGGCGACGGGGCUUCAACUCCAAGUUCAUGGCGGCGGCGUUCCUCCCCGGUUCCGACCGAGAUGGGGAGCUCCGGCGGAGUCUCUCCAUGGAUAAGGUGGCGCUGCACCUGUGAGAGACAGAGGGAAGGAGAGGGCACGAGAAGCAGCGGGGAAGUUCUGGUGGUGCCCGUCGCCUGCAACAGCUCUCUUGAGUACGUCCAGAGAGAGAUGAGAGAGAGCCGGGAGGAAGAAGGAAAGGAAGGAGACUUCAGGAAGGGGCAGCGGGAUCCUGCAGGGCUGGGUUGGAGCCCCGUGGUAGCUUGCUCUGGUGGUGCUACUACUGUUGUUGGACGGCAGCCGAUGGGACAAGGCCUAGGUAAGAGGAAAAACAUGUGUUGCAUCGACACAUUUGAUGCAGAGCGGCCACUGUAAGUUCCUCUCCCUUCUCUAAUUAGUAUUGAGAUUCCAUUGAUAUUUGAUGGAGAGCAGCCACCAAAAGUUCCUCUUUUGAUGCACCGAAAACAGCUCUCUCUCUCUCUCUAAUUUAUUCUCAGCUAUAGAAUGACGUGUAUCUAUGCUACUUGCUAAUGUGAUGGAUAAUGCAUGUGGAUUGAUUCAUGAAUUAGCAAAAUAUUUCAUGUGAGAUGUGCUAGAGAACGGUUUUGAUCUAAUUGAAUAAUACGAAGUAUUUUAGUUCUGAUGGUAAUAGACGAGCAACUUCAGUUGUAUUUGAUUUCAGUUUUUGUUUUUCAGUAUAUGUUGGUCAAGAUUCAACUUUGUUUAUGUCCAUGUUUUGCUGGUAUAAUGUAUCAUCAAGCUUUCUUUUUAUAUGAUGAUACUGUGUAAAUCAGCAUAUGGAUGUGCAAAAUAUUCUUAGGGGCAUUAGCCUAGACAAGGAUGUUGAUGGUUUACAUCCCUUAAACAUUGGUAAUGUUGCCCUCAGAAGCUGGAAACCUGUGAUUGUUUCUUGUGCUACAAUAUGGAUUUAUCUCAUGGAAAGCACGUGUGGUGAAAGAAAGUCAUUAGCCAAUCCUACAAUGUUUUGGUUUAUUUUUCGGAUAGUCCUUUUUGACUGAUUAAUCAUGUGUGACGUUUCAUGCAGUGAUCUGUCCUAACCAGGAAGACAAUGCUGAGGUAGUACAGGUUACAUCUAUGUUCAGAGAUGAGGCUAAGAUAAAAGAUGCUCAUAGUUAGUUCAUAGUUUGAUUUCAUGAGGAAUCCAUAGGGUGGCGGAUGUUUGCUAUGAGGUGGUGUAUGUACGUGCUGCACCUCAUGGCCGUGCCAUGCUUCCUGCAAGCCAAUUUACUGCUUCUUCCGAGGUCAUAUAGUGAUGAAAUGGCACCGAGAAUCUAAAGCUGGUUCAAUGGUGCCUUCAGCAAAGUCGCCGAGGCUGGUCAUGUUGCCGGCUCAAGAACAACAGAAAAGUCCCAGAUAGUUGUGUCAAAUAUAUCAACCAAAGGACCUGCUGUCGUUGCUUGAGCUUGUUGAGUUUGUUCUGGGAGCUCCUCUUCCUGGGGAAAAUCUGUUGGAAACCUUGAGCAAGCAUCUAAUGUUGGCUGUGUCAUCAAGCUUUGGCUUGUAACUGUGUAUUUCUCUCCUUCUCAUCUUCUUCUUUGAGGAGGUUUAUUUUCAGGGAGUGUUGACAGAUUUGGUAGAGGAUCUAAAUUUUCUUUAGAAUUUUAGAACCACUACCCUUUUUAGUGUCGGUGUUCAGUUGAUUAUAGAUGAUAGUGACAUUUUGGACCAUGGUCCUGGUUCGGUGUGGUUUCAUGAUUGUCAUACAGUACACUAAAUUUUCUGAGUAUUGCACAAGCCUGAGUAAAUAUGGGUCGAGGUUGCUUUCCUCGUUAACUUCGGUUCCGUUCCGGAGUUGUGAGGAUCCGUUCAACUACGUCCGUUUGUCUUCUUCAUGGACUCGUUCUUCUUCCUUGUGGGAUCUCAGG